GUGGGGAAUAUUGGGCAAUGGGGGAAACCCUGACCCAGCAACGCCGCGUGAGGGAAGAAGGCUUUCGGGUCGUAAACCUCUGUCCCAUGGGAAGAGGAGAAGACGGUACCAUGGGAGGAAGCCCCGGCUAACUCCGUGCCAGCAGCCGCGGUAAUACGGAGGGGGCUAGCGUUGUUCGGAAUUACUGGGCGUAAAGCGCGCGUAGGCGGACCAGAAAGUUGGAGGUGAAAUCCCAGGGCUCAACCUUGGAACUGCCUUCAAAACUCCUGGUCUGGAGUUCGAGAGAGGUGAGUGGAAUUCCGAGUGUAGAGGUGAAAUUCGUAGAUAUUCGGAGGAACACCAGUGGCGAAGGCGGCUCACUGGCUCGAUACUGACGCUGAGGUGCGAAAGCGUGGGGAGCAAACAGGAUUAGAAACCCUUGUAGUCC
rnacentral:rRNA from 1 species